UGUAAAAAAUUUCCGUAAUUUUACAGCAAAAACCUACGUAAAAUUUACGUAGACCGUUCUGUUUUAUGAAAAACGGCGGGAUUCUACGUAAAAAAGACGGACGUGAGCUCCGUUUAUGAAAAACGGCGGGAUUCUACGUAAAAAAGACGGACGUGAGCUCCGUUUUUGAAAUACGGAGAGCCGUCCGUAAUUUCAUGAGGAGGGCAACUGAACAUGUUUCUAGUGAAAAAUGAACACGCAAAGAAUAUAACGAAAAGACACUGUCUACUCUCACUGCCAGUUACAUAUAUCACCAUAGAUAACGCUGUUUGAACAUUAUUCGCGUGCGAGCAUAGUAAACACACAAAAAGAAGCAGGUAGGGUUUGAGCGGUGGCGCUGCUUACCACCCCUUCAUCGCGCCUACACGCUGGGUUGGAUUCCUCCAGCACAAACAACUGUACGAGUACUCGCUAAUGGCGGACGGUGGAGGUGGUGUUCCUGUCGCAUUUGUGAUUUCACACCAAAUAGGAAGCAAUCGGCGCUGGAUUGUUACACAACUGUUGCACCAGUGAAGGAUGUCUGUGUGCCGCCUUGCAUUCAGUUUCUCAGUCAUGGGGGCCUGCUUGCAACACCAGUGGCAAAGCAGUCUUGCAUUGUGCUAUUUGUUCUGAAAGGACACAAGCAUUGAGGAGCCAUUUGACCUGCCACUACACUGAUACGGUAUUUGGCAAAGGCAGGAGGCAUCUGCAAGCAACCAGUCAUUCCGAUUCUCAACCAAUCCUUCUAGUCAGCCCAUUUCUAGUGUCUUAUCUUGCAAGUUUUUUUCAGUAAAGCACAAUAAACACGCAGUUUCGUUCA